ACAAAUCUGCUAUAUGGCAAGCCCGAAAGGGAUUGCACAUAUAUAUUUACCCCGAGCUGGUGUUGCACUUUUGUGCAAAGGCCAGCUUUGGAUGGGCAGGCCUACCCUUUACCGGGCAGGGCUGCUUCGGACAGUGUUUUCGGACGCUGGCCACAUUGACGCUUGUAUGUUUGACAGAGUUACAGUUGUAAACUAAAAAAGA
rnacentral:misc_RNA from 1 species